rnacentral:rRNA from 1 species
CAGUAGCCACGGUAAUACGUAGGUCCCGAGCGUUGUCCGGAUUUAUUGGGCGUAAAGCGAGCGCAGGCGGUUAGAUAAGUCUGAAGUUAAAGGCUGUGGCUUAACCAUAGUACGCUUUGGAAACUGUUUAACUUGAGUGCAAGAGGGGAGAGUGAAAUUCCAUGUGUAGCGGUGAAAUGCGUAGAUAUAUGGAGGAACACCGGUGGCGAAAGCGGCUCUCUGGCUUGUAACUGACGCUGAGGCUCGAAAGCGUGGGGAGCAAACAGGAUUAGAUACCCCCGUAGUCCCUGUCUCUUAUACA